GGCUUCGUAGCUCAGCUGGCAGAGCGCUUGCCUCGUAGAUGCAUGGUGUUUCAGUCGCUGGUUGGAAUCCAGCCGAAACCC